rfam:Strongylocentrotus purpuratus Contig126362_fixed, whole genome shotgun sequence.
AUUGUUUCUGUUAAUGAUGUAUACAGAGUAAUGUAUGAAGAAGAAUGAUUAAGAUUAUAACUCAUUCGUCACUACCUCUGAGGCAGAAAUGAC